GGGCUUCUAACAAAUGCUCUUCUGAUGGUAACAUUGAUUGAAUCAGUUCCAGCCUCUGGGAUUCUCCAUGACAUGAUGUACAUUAAAGUACUUGAGCAACAAUAAAAUCCCAUACAAUUGUUAGAUACCAUUGUGUUAUCAGUACAGUUUUAUAAUUGUGGACCUGAAAACUAAGUGGUCAGAGGAAUGUCAACAAGCAUAAUUAGAUUUUUACCCUGUGUGAUUCCAGGGGCCAAGCAAAUAAUGGUGAGGCGUGAACAUCUGAGCAAGUCCCCUCAAGAAAACAGUCAGCCCUUACAAUUGUAUCUUGUUAUAAAAUUCAUCUGUAAAAGAAACUGGUCAGAAAAGCAUUUGGAACAGGAAAAUGCCCAACCAAGCACACUGGAGCUUUGCUUUUCUGUGAUGUUAAACCAGUCAAAGCCGGCCAUUGUGCGUGCUUGAC
rnacentral:lncRNA from 1 species